rnacentral:rRNA from 1 species
UACGAAGGGGGCUAGCGUUGCUCGGAAUUACUGGGCGUAAAGGGCGCGUAGGCGGAUAUCUAAGUUGGGGGUGAAAUCCCGGGGCUCAACCUCGGAAUUGCCUUCAAAACUGGAUAUCUUGAGUUCGGGAGAGGUGAGUGGAACUCCGAGUGUAGAGGUGAAAUUCGUAGAGAUGUGGAGGAACACCGAUGACGAAGGCAGCCUCCUGGGCCAGCACUGACGCUCUUGCACGAAAGCGUGGGGAGCAAACAGG